UCUCUUUCUCCACCACCACCAUCAUCAACUAUAAGCAGAUCUAACAGCACCACCAUCAACAAUAACUACCGCCACCAUGACUCUACACCGUCUGCACCAUCAUCAUCCUUCUAUACCGCCUCCGCCAUAUCAAACUUUGCUCACCAUUAAACACAUCAACAUCCACAAAACACCAAUAUCAACUCCACCAUCGUUAAAGAGAUCUACAGAUGCCUAAUUAGGAUUUGAAUCAACCAAUUUUAGAAAAUCACUCAUGAUUAUACCAAAACACGCAGAGUACUCUGUUUUUUGAUAAGAAAUGGAUGAAGACUAUGCUCAAAUUGGUUAUGCCUUGGCGUGGGAUUGUGUUGAAGUUAUGAAUGAGCUCCGGAUGGUUAUGAAGUAGUUGCAGGGGUGAUGCUGAAAUGAGAUUGAUGUGAUGUCGAGGAUAUGAAACUGAUGUUGUUGCAGUUAAAUGUAAUGGCUUGGAGGUGCUUGUACUGGAGUUUGGUUGCAGCUGGAGUUGUUGGAUCUGGUGGCAGUAAUGGAGCUAAUGGGUACUGGUGGUGUUGUUUUGAUGAUGGAGAAACUGGUUCUAGUGAAGUGUCAGGUGGACUGGUUGGUAUUGCAAUGGAAUGAAUGCAGGAGAUGACAUUACAGAUGUGCAGGUGAUGGCAGUUGUGGUUGGCAUGAGGCAGAGAUGAAGGAUCUGCAAUGGAUUGAAGUUAUUAAACUAUGGCAGUGGAGUUGUUGCUAGCACUUGGCCUGGCAGAGAAGGUAGUGAAUUGCAGGUGGUCUUGUAACUGCUUACAGGGAAGCUGGCAGGAUUUUGCAGUUACAGUUGUUGAAUGCUCAAGUUGCAGGUUCAUGUUACAGGGAGAGAGUAAAAAGCUGCGCUGCAGAAAUGGAAUUGCAGUUGAAUUGGAGCUACAGAUGCGGGACAAAGAAGAUACAGGUGCUGCUGUUGCGCAGUGGCUGUGAACUAAGAUUGAAUAGUUGUAGCUGAGUUUGGCAAAAAAUUCUGUUUUUUUUGCUCUGUUUUACGUACUCUGUUUUUUACUCUGUUUUACGUACUCUUUUUUGCUUGCAAUUAAUUCGUAAAACAGAGCAAUUAAUUCUGUUUUUUUUUUGCUGUACUCUG